AAUUUUUGACAAUGGGGGAAACCCUGAUCCAGCCAGCCCGCGUGUAUGAUGAAGGNCUNNGGGUUNUNAAGUACUUUUUGUAGNNNNNAACAGGUACCUCCUAAUACGAGGUACUGCUGACGGUAUCUGCAGAAUAAGCACCGGCUAACUACGUGCACGCAGCCGCGGUAAUACGUAGGGUGCAAGCUUUAAUGUGAAUUACUGGGCGUAAAGCGUGUGUAGGCGGUUCGGAAAGAAAGAUGUGAAAUCCCAGGGCUCAACCUUGGAACUGCAUUUUUAACUGCCGAGCUAGAGUAUGUCAGAGGGGGGUAGAAUUCCACGUGUAGCAGUGAAAUGCGUAGAUAUGUGGAGGAAUACCGAUGGCGAAGGCAGCCCCCUGGGAUAAUACUGACGCUCAGACACGAAAGCGUGGGGAGCAAACA
rnacentral:rRNA from 1 species